AAUGUAUAGGAACUUGCCUAGUAGUGGGGGAUAACGUGUGGAAACGCACGCUAAUACCGCAUACGCUCUACGGAGGAAAGCGGGGGGAUCUUCGGACCUCGUGCUACUAGAUGGGCCUAUAUCAGAUUAGCUAGCUGGUAAGGUAAUGGCUUACCAAGGCGACGAUCUGUAGCUGGUUUGAGAGAAUGAUCAGCCACACUGGGACUGAGACACGGCCCAG
rnacentral:rRNA from 1 species